rnacentral:SRP_RNA from 1 species
GCCGGGUGCGGCGAUGUGCGCCUGUAGUCCCACUUUUCCGGAGGCUGAGGCGGGAGGAUCGCUUGAGCCCGGGGGCUCGAGACCAGCCUGGGCAACAUAGCGAGACUCCGUCUCUA